GACGAACGCUGGCGGCGUGCUUAACACAUGCAAGUCGAACGGAAAGGCCCUGCUUUUGUGGGGUGCUCGAGUGGCGAACGGGUGAGUAACACGUGAGUAACCUGCCCUUGACUUUGGGAUAACUUCAGGAAACUGGGGCUAAUACCGGAUAGGAGCUCCUGCUGCAUGGUGGGGGUUGGAAAGUUUCGGCGGUUGGGGAUGGACUCGCGGCUUAUCAGCUUGUUGGUGGGGUAGUGGCUUACCAAGGCUUUGACGGGUAGCCGGCCUGAGAGGGUGACCGGCUACACGGGAACUAAGAGAGGGUGGAGACUGCAACGGGAGGCAGCGGUGGGAGAUAGGGGACAAUGGGCGGAAGUGCGCUUGAGAGACACUGGGUGGGUGAAGAAGUACUUCGGGUGGUAAAGAUCGGUUGUGGGAAAAGAAAAGAAGCAGGUUAAUAUACGGCUGCUCUGCAGCUACCUAAAGAAUCAGAAAGGGCUAAAUUAGUG
rnacentral:rRNA from 1 species